UGGUUCAAAAAUACUCACUAUUAAAUAGUUGAAACGAUACAGAGAAGAUUAGCAUGGCCCCUGCACAAGGAUGACACUGCUUCCAAAGAGAGGAACCCAUUUUUU
rnacentral:snRNA from 1 species